GACGAACGCUGGCGGCGUGCUUAACACAUGCAAGUCGAACGGAAAGGCCCUGCCUUUGUGGGGUGCUCGAGUGGCGAACGGGUGAGUAACACGUGAGUAACCUGCCCUUUACUUUGGGAUAACUUCAGGAAACUGGGGCUAAUACCGGAUAGGAGCUCCUGCUGCAUGGUGGGGGUUGGAAAGUUUCGGCGGUUGGGGAUGGACUCGCGGCUUAUCAGCUUGUUGGUGGGGUAGUGGCUUACCAAGGGUUUGACGGGUAGCCGGCCUGAGAGGGUGACCGGCCACAAGGGGACUGAGAUACGGACCAGACUCCUACGGGAGGCAGCAGUGGGGAAUAUUGCACAAUGGGCGGAAGCCUGAUGCAGCAACGCCGCGUGCGGGAUAACGGCCUUCGGGUUGUAAACCGCUUUCGCCUGUGACGAAGCGUGAGUGACGGUAAUGGGUAAAGAAGCACCGGCUAACUACGUG
rnacentral:rRNA from 1 species